GACGAACGCUGGCGGCGUGCUUAACACAUGCAAGUCGAACGGAAAGGCCCUGCUUUUGUGGGGUGCUCGAGUGGCGAACGGGUGAGUAACACGUGAGUAACCUGCCCUUGACUUUGGGAUAACUUCAGGAAAUUGGGGCUAAUACCGGAUAGGAGCUCCUGCUGCAUGGUGGGGGUUGGAAAGUUUCGGCGGUUGGGGAUGGACUCGCGGCUUAUCAGCUUGUUGGUGGGGUAGUGGCUUACCAAGGCUUUGACGGGUAGCCGGCCUGAGAGGGUGACCGGCCACAUUGGGACUGAGAUACGGCCCAGACUCCUCCGGGAGGCAGCAGUGGGGAAUAUUGCACAAUGGGCGGAGGCCUGAUGCAGCAACGCCGCGUGCGGGAUGACGGCCUUCGGGUUGUAAACCGCUUUCGCCUGUGACGAAGCGUGAGUGACGGUAAUGGGUAAAGAAGCACCGGCUAACUACGUG
rnacentral:rRNA from 1 species